GCAAUCAUUACAUUCUUUAAAAAUCUUGACACUUUCUUUUCUACGUAACAACAUUUUUUUUUGACGUUAUCACCUUUUCAACCUAACAACCGCAAGCAUCAAGCAAUCAAGCUUGAAACAACAUGGAUUCUGUUUAAGCAACUUGAGAGAGCUGUGAUUUUCAAAACUACCAUAGUCGGAUAGAUCAUCAUCUCCCUCCUUUUCGUCUUCUUUCUAGGGUUUUUUUCUUCAUCUUUCAUUCCCCAAUUCGUGAAACGCAGAGCAAAAAACAUCGUCGAAGCUGGUAGAGUAUCUCUCAAAUGGCGAAGAAUCGAGGAUCUUCAAUGUCACUCGAAUCCUUCGUGUCAACAAUGGCACCACUCAUCGACAUGGAGAAAGAAGCCGAGUUAUCAAUGUCACUAAGCACCGGCACGUCGAGAAACAUCGAAACCGCUCAGAAGAAAGGCACAACCAUCCUCAACCUGAAAUGCAUGGAUGUGCAAACAGGUCUCGUGGGAGAGAUUUUCUCGAGUUCCAAUCCAAAAAAGGAGACGUCCUCUAAUUUAUAAUAAAGCUGACAUGAGUAUUUACAGAAACAAGGCUAUACCGAGUACAGAAGCACGUCCCUAAUUCCUAAUAAAGUUCCGACGUAACAACCGCAAGCAUCAAGCAAUCAAGCUUGAAGCAACGUGGAUUCUGUUUAAGAAACUUGCUCGGUUGAAAACAGAAGAGAAACUAUUGAUUGAAGAAACGGAGGAAAAAGAAAGCAAAGCUAACGCAAUGAAGAUGAUGACUGAACUGGACUCUGAAAGUUUUUCUUAGUCUGGAUCAAGUGACAAUGAUUGUGGCAUAGGAAAGGAUGUUGACAUGAGUAUUUACAGAAACAAGGCUAUACCGAUUACAGAAACAAGUCCCUAAUUCUUAAUAAAGUUCCAACGUAACAACCGCAAGCAUCAAGCAAUCAAGCUUGAAGCAACAUGGAUUCUGUUUAAGCAACUUGAUCGGUUGAAAACAGAGGAGAAACUAUUAAUUGUGAUAUAUAUUCUUAUAUAUUUUGCAUAUUAACGACCACGACAGUAGAGAUGAAACUAUAUAUUACCUUGGCGUAACUUCUUAUCCUACGGUAAAUACUUUUUCCA